UACGUAGGGUGCAAGCGUUGUCCGGAAUUAUUGGGCGUAAAGAGCUCGUAGGCGGUCUGUCGCGUCGGCUGUGAAAACUUGGGGCUCAACCCCAAGCCUGCAGUCGAUACGGGCAGACUAGAGUGUGGUAGGGGAGACUGGAAUUCCUGGUGUAGCGGUGAAAUGCGCAGAUAUCAGGAGGAACACCGGUGGCGAAGGCGGGUCUCUGGGCCAUAACUGACGCUGAGGAGCGAAAGCGUGGGGAGCGAACAGG
rnacentral:rRNA from 1 species